rnacentral:rRNA from 1 species
UGGGGAAUAUUGCACAAUGGGCGCAAGCCUGAUGCAGCCAUGCCGCGUGUAUGAAGAAGGCCUUCGGGUUGUAAAGUACUUUCAGUCGGGAGGAAGGUGGUAAGGUUAAUAACCUUAUCAAUUGACGUUACCGACAGAAGAAGCACCGGCUAACUCCGUGCCAGCAGCCGCGGUAAUACGGAGGGUGCAAGCGUUAAUCGGAAUUACUGGGCGUAAAGCGCACGCAGACGGUCUGUCAAGUCGGAUGUGAAAUCCCCGGGCUCAACCUGGGAACUGCAUUCGAAACUGGCAGGCUAGAGUCUUGUAGAGGGGGGUAGAAUUCCAGGUGUAGCGGUGAAAUGCGUAGAGAUCUGGAGGAAUACCGGUGGCGAAGGCGGCCCCCUGGACAAAGACUGACGCUCAGGUGCGAAAGCGUGGGGAGCAAACAGG